ACGCUGGCGGCAGGCCUAACGCAUGCAAGUCGAGCGGUAGAGAGAAGCUUGCUUCUCUUGAGAGCGGCGGACGGGUGAGUAAUGCCUAGGAAUCUGCCUGGUAGUGGGGGAUAACGUUCGGAAACGGACGCUAAUACCGCAUACGUCCUACGGGAGAAAGCAGGGGACCUUCGGGCCUUGCGCUAUCAGAUGAGCCUAGGUCGGAUUAGCUAGUUGGUGGGGUAAUGGCUCACCAAGGCGACGAUCCGUAACUGGUCUGAGAGGAUGAUCAGUCACACUGGAACUGAGACACGGUCCAGACUCCUACGGGAGGCAGCAGUGGGGAAUAUUGGACAAUGGGCGAAAGCCUGAUCCAGCCAUGCCGCGUGUGUGAAGAAGGUCUUCGGAUUGUAAAGCACUUUAAGUUGGGAGGAAGGGUUGUAGAUUAAUACUCUGCAAUUUUGACGUUACCGACAGAAUAAGCACCGGCUAACUCUGUGCCAGCAGCCGCGGUAAUACAGAGGGUGCAAGCGUUAAUCGGAAUUACUGGGCGUAAAGCGCGCGUAGGUGGUUAGUUAAGUUGGAUGUGAAAUCCCCGGGCUCAACCUGGGAACUGCAUUCAAAACUGACUGACUAGAGUAUGGUAGAGGGUGGUGGAAUUUCCUGUGUAGCGGUGAAAUGCGUAGAUAUAGGAAGGAACACCAGUGGCGAAGGCGGCCACCUGGACUGAUACUGACACUGAGGUGCGAAAGCGUGGGGAGCAAAC
rnacentral:rRNA from 1 species